rnacentral:rRNA from 1 species
UUGGGCAAGACCGGUGCCAGCCGCCGCGGUAACACCGGCAGCCCGAGUGGUGAUCACUAUUAUUGGGUCUAAAGGGUCCGUAGCCGGUUUAAUCAGUCUUCUGGGAAAUCUAAUCGCUGAACUAUUAGGCUUCCAGGGGAUACUGUUAGACUUGGGACCGGGAGAGGUAAGAGGUACUGCAGGGGUAGGAGUGAAAUCUUGUAAUCCCUGUGAGACCACCAGUGGCGAAGGCGUCUUACCAGAACGGGUCCGACGGUGAGGGACGAAAGCUGGGGGCACGAACCGGAUUAGAUACCCGGGUAGUCCCAGCUGUAAACGAUGCUCGUUAGGUGUCAGGAACGGUGCGACUGUUUCUGGUGCCGAAGGGAAGCCGUGAAACGAGCCACCUGGGAAGUACGGCCGCAAGGCUGAAACUUAAAGGAAUUGGCGGGGGAGCACUACAACGGGUGGAGCCUGCGGUUUAAUUGGACUCAACGCCGGAAAACUCACCGGGGGCGACAGCAAUAUGUAGGUCAGGUUAAAGGUCUUACCUGAAUCGCUGAGAGGAGGUGCAUGGCCGUCGUCAGUUCGUACUGUGAAGCAUCCUGUUAAGUCAGGCAACGAGCAAGACCCGUGCCCACUGUUACCAGCAUAUCCUUUAUGGAUGAUGGGGACUCUGUGGGGACCGCUGCUGCUAAAGCAGAGGAAGGUGCGGGCUACGGUAGGUCAGUAUGCCCCGAAUCUCCCGGGCUACACGCGGGCUACAAUGGUUGGGACAAUGGGUAUCUACUCCGAAAGGAGUUGGCAAUCUCUUAAACCCAAUCGUAGUUCGAAUUGAGGGCUGUAACUCGCCCUCNAUG